CUACGGUGGGCAGCAGUGGGGAAUAUUGGACAAUGGGCGAAAGCCUGAUCCAGCCAUGCCGCGUGUGUGAAGAAGGCCUUCGGGUUGUAAAGCACUUUCAGUGGGGAAGAAAGCCUUGGGGCUAAUACCCUCGAGGAAGGACAUCACCCACAGAAGAAGCACCGGCUAACUCCGUGCCAGCAGCCGCGGUAAUACGGAGGGUGCGAGCGUUAAUCGGAAUUACUGGGCGUAAAGCGCGCGUAGGCGGUCUGAUAAGCCGGUUGUGAAAGCCCCGGGCUCAACCUGGGAACGGCAUCCGGAACUGUCAGGCUAGAGUGCAGGAGAGGAAGGUAGAAUUCCCGGUGUAGCGGUGAAAUGCGUAGAGAUCGGGAGGAAUACCAGUGGCGAAGGCGGCCUUCUGGACUGACACUGACGCUGAGGUGCGAAAGCGUGGGUAGCAAACAGGAUUAGAUACCCUGGUAGUC
rnacentral:rRNA from 1 species